GAUGAACGCUAGCUACAGGCUUAACACAUGCAAGUCGAGGGGAAACGAUAGAGAAAGCUUGCUUUUUCUAGGCGUCGACCGGCGCACGGGUGAGUAACGCGUAUCCAACCUGCCCAUCACUUGGGGAUAACCUUGCGAAAGUAAGACUAAUACCCAAUGACGUCUCUAGAAGACAUCUGAAGGAGAUUAAAGAUUUAUCGGUGAUGGAUGGGGAUGCGUCUGAUUAGCUUGUUGGUGGGGUAACGGCCUACCAAGUCGACGAUCGGUAGCCGGACUGAGAGGUCGAACGGCCACAUUGGGACUGAGACACGGCCCAGACUCCUACGGGAGGCAGCAGUGGGGGAUAUUGCACAAUGGGGGAAACCCUGAUGCAGCGACGCCGCGUGAGGGAAGAC
rnacentral:rRNA from 1 species